rnacentral:tRNA from 1 species
GGGUCGUUAGCUCAGUUGGUAGAGCAGCGGACUUUUAAUCCGUUGGCCGCGUGUUCAAAUCACGCACGGCCUA